rnacentral:rRNA from 1 species
GACCUCCUGGCUCAGGAUGAACGCUAGCGACAGGCCUAACACAUGCAAGUCGAGGGGCAGCGAAGAGGUAGCAAUACCUUUGCCGGCGACCGGCGCACGGGUGAGUAACACGUAUGCAAUCCACCUGUAACAGGGGGAUAACCCGGAGAAAUCCGGACUAAUACCCCAUAAUAUGGGCGCUCCGCAUGGAGAGCCCAUUAAAGAGAGCAAUUUUGGUUACAGACGAGCAUGCGCUCCAUUAG